rnacentral:rRNA from 1 species
UAGGGAAUCUUCGGCAAUGGACGAAAGUCUGACCGAGCAACGCCGCGUGAGUGAAGAAGGUUUUCGGAUCGUAAAACUCUGUUGCCAGGGAAGAAUGAGAUGGAGAGUAACUGCUCUGUCUGUGACGGUACCUGAGAAGAAAGCCCCGGCUAACUACGUGCCAGCAGCCGCGGUAAUACGUAGGGGGCAAGCGUUGUCCGGAAUUAUUGGGCGUAAAGCGCGCGCAGGCGGCUGAUUAAGUCUGGUGUAUAAUCCUGAGGCUCAACCUUAGGUCGCACUGGAAACUGGUCAGCUAGAGUGUAGGAGAGGAAAGUGGAAUUCCACGUGUAGCGGUGAAAUGCGUAGAGAUGUGGAGGAACACCAGUGGCGAAGGCGACUUUCUGGCCUAUAACUGACGCUGAGGCGCGAAAGCGUGGGGAGCAAACAGGAUUAGAUACCCCCGUAGUCC